UACGGAGGGUGCGAGCGCUGUCCGGAAUCACUGGGCGUAAAGGGCGCGUAGGCGGCGCGGGUAGUCAACGGUGAAAGCUUGGGGCUCAACCCCGAGUCGGCCGUCGAUACUCCCGUGCUUGAGCACUGUAGAGGCAGGUGGAAUUCCGGGUGUAGCGGUGGAAUGCGUAGAGAUCCGGAAGAACACCGGUGGCGAAGGCGGCCUGCUGGGCAGUAGCUGACGCUGAGGCGCGACAGCGUGGGGAGCAAACAGG
rnacentral:rRNA from 1 species